CUGCAUGGGAGAAGUCAUCCUGCAGAGGUCCAGGGAAGACAGGCAGACGCUUGAGCUGUCUAAGAUGCUUGUAAUCCCCUGUAUUCUCCCUGGAAUCACAUGGUCUUCUUGCUUCGAGCUGUGAGGCGUGGAGUGCAGCGAGGGUGUGCCCUGCCAUGUACAUCAAAGUCACCUGCACAUUCGUCACUCCGGGUGUCUGGCAAGGAAGAUACACAGGCAGGAUACAGCUGGACAUGCAGACAGUUCAUGUUGGAUGUCAGAGGUACUAGUGCAUUUUGUGGCUUCCCUGGGAGCCUUGAGAGCUGCGGCCACCUGCUUCCCAAGCACUGCGUGUUGUGAGCCCCCGAGUCCCUUCUCUGUGCCCA